AUUGAACGCUGGCGGCAUGCCUUACACAUGCAAGUCGAACGGCAGCACGGGAGCAAUCCUGGUGGCGAGUGGCGAACGGGUGAGUAAUAUAUCGGAACGUGCCCAGUCGUGGGGGAUAACGCAGCGAAAGCUGUGCUAAUACCGCAUACGAUCUAAGGAUGAAAGCGGGGGAUCGCAAGACCUCGCGCGAUUGGAGCGGCCGAUAUCAGAUUAGCUAGUUGGUGGGGUAAAGGCCCACCAAGGCGACGAUCUGUAGCUGGUCUGAGAGGACGACCAGCCACACUGGAACUGAGACACGGUCCAGACUCCUACGGGAGGCAGCAGUGGGGAAUUUUGGACAAUGGGCGCAAGCCUGAUCCAGCAAUGCCGCGUGCAGGAUGAAGGCCUUCGGGUUGUAAACUGCUUUUGUACGGAACGAAACGGCCCUUUCUAAUACAGGGGGCUAAUGACGGUACCGUAAGAAUAAGCACCGGCUAACUACGUGCCAGCAGCCGCCGCAG
rnacentral:rRNA from 1 species